GACGAACGCUGGCGGCGUGCUUAACACAUGCAAGUCGAGCGAUGAAACUCCUUCGGGAGUGGAUUAGCGGCGGACGGGUGAGUAACACGUGGGUAACCUGCCUCAUAGAGGGGAAUAGCCUUUCGAAAGGAAGAUUAAUACCGCAUAAGAUUGUAGUACCGCAUGGUACAGCAAUUAAAGGAGUAAUCCGCUAUGAGAUGGACCCGCGUCGCAUUAGCUAGUUGGUGAGGUAACGGCUCACCAAGGCGACGAUGCGUAGCCGACCUGAGAGGGUGAUCGGCCACAUUGGGACUGAGACACGGCCCAGACUCCUACGGGAGGCAGCAGUGGGGAAUAUUGCACAAUGGGGGAAACCCUGAUGCAGCAACGCCGCGUGAGUGAUGACGGUCUUCGGAUUGUAAAGCUCUGUCUUUAGGGACGAUAAUGACGGUACCUAAGGAGGAAGCCACGGCUAACUACGUGCCAGCCGCCGCCGUAA
rnacentral:rRNA from 1 species